AUGGUGACCACGCUUUGCUCGGUGGCCUUGCUGCUCGUCGUCGUCGCUCUCCUGUCGGCGACAGGCGAUGGUGUGGCGGCAUUGGACGCCCAGGCCGCGUACCUGUCCCGGCUGAAGCAGGAGCUCGCCGGCCCGGCCAUGGCGCGCUGGGACUUCUCGUCGGCCACGCCGGUCGACUACUGCCGGUUCCAGGGCGUGGUUUGUGGCGGCAGCAACGUCACGGGCAUCGACCUCACGUCGUGGCGGCUCACCGGCAGGCUCCCGCCCGGCAUCUGCGCCGCGCUGCCGGCGCUCCGGGACCUCCUGCUCGCCUACAACGAAAUCCGCGGCGGCUUCCCGGCGGGCCUCCUCAACUGCUCCUCCCUCGAGACGCUCAACCUCAGCUUCGCCAGCGUGUCGGGCGCGCUGCCGGACCUGUCCCCGAUGCGGGCGCUGCGGGCGCUCGACCUCUCCGACAACCUCUUCUCCGGCGCGUUCCCGGCGACGUCCAUCGCCAACAUGACCUCGCUGGAGGUGAUCAACUUCAACGAGAACCCCGGCUUCGACGUCUGGCGCCCGCCGGAGGCGCUCACGCGGCUGCGGCGCCUCCGCGUGCUCAUCCUGUCCACCACGUCCAUGCGCGGCGGCGUGCCGGCGUGGCUCGGCAACAUGACGUCCCUCACCUUCCUGGAGCUCAGCGGCAACUCCCUCACCGGCCGCAUCCCGGCGUCGCUCGGCCGCCUCGCCAACCUCGAGUUCCUCGAGCUCUACUACAACGACCUGGAGGGCGCCAUCCCCGACGAGCUCGGCAACCUCACGCGCCUCGCCGACGUCGACUUAUCCGAGAACCACCUCGACGGCGCCAUACCGGACUCGCUCUGCGCGCUGCCGCGCCUCCGCGUGCUGCAGCUCUACACCAACUUCCUCGCCGGGCCCAUCCCGGCCGUGCUGGGCAACUCCACGCAGCUCGAGAUCCUCUCCGUGUACAAGAACCAGCUCACCGGCGAGCUCCCCGCCGACCUCGGCCGCUACUCCGACUUCAACGUGCUGGAGGUCUCCGAGAACCAGCUCACGGGCCCGCUGCCGCCGUACGCCUGCGCCAACGGUAAGCUCCAGUACAUCCUUGUCCUCAGCAACCUGCUCACCGGCACCAUCCCGGCGGCCUACGCCGACUGCCUGCCGCUCCUCCGGUUCCGCGUGAGCAGCAACCACCUGGAGGGCGACGUGCCGCCGGGCAUCUUCGCGCUGCCGCAUGCCUCCAUCGUGGACCUCUCCUACAACCAUUUCACCGGCUCGGUGCCCCCGUCCAUCGCCGGCGCCAAGAACCUCACCUCGCUGUUCGCGUCCGCCAACCGGCUGUCCGGCAUGCUCCCGCCGGAGAUCGCCGACGUCUGGGGCCUCGUGAAGAUCGACCUGAGCAACAACCUCAUCGCCGGCCCGAUCCCGGCGGCGAUGGGGAGGCUGGUCCGGCUGAACCAGCUGUCCCUGCAGGGCAACCGCCUGAACGGCCCCAUCCCGGAGACGCUCGCCGACCUGAGGAGCCUCAACGUGCUGAACCUGUCGGAGAACGCGCUGUCGGGGCAGAUACCGGAGGCGCUGUGCGCGCUGCUGCCCAACUCGCUGGACUUCGCCGGCAACAACCUGUCGGGGCCGGUGCCGCCGGCGAUGAUCAAGGAAGGGCUGCUGGAGAGCGUGGCCGGCAACCCGGGGCUGUGCGUGGCGUUCCGGCUCAACCUGAGCGACACGGCGCUGCCGCUGUGCCAGAAGGGCGGGGAGAAGCGGGGAUUCGCCGGGAGCUCGUGGAUCGUCGGGGUGUGCUGCGUGGUGUGCGUGGUGGCAAUGCUGGCGCUGGCGCGCCGGUGGGUGACGCGGCGGCGGGAGUUGAAGGACGGCGAGCAAGACGGGACGUCGUCGCCGGGGUCCAGGGGCGGCGGGCUGUCGUCGUACGACGUGACGAGCUUCCACAAGCUAAACUUCGACCAGCACGAGAUCGUGGAGGCGCUGAUCGACAAGAACAUCGUCGGGCACGGCGGCUCCGGCACGGUGUACAAGAUCGAGCUGAGCAGCGGCGAGCUGGUGGCGGUGAAGAAGCUCUGGGUGUCCUCCUCCAAGACCAAGCAGCAGCGGCAGAAGCAGCAUCAGCAUCGCGGCCAUGGGCAUGGGCAUGGGUAUGGGCACGGCCGAGGCUACGGCGGCGGCGAGGAGGACGACAGCCGCGAGCUGCGGACGGAGGUGGAGACGCUGGGCAGCAUCCGGCACAAGAACAUCGUGAAGCUAUACUGCUGCUACUCGGGCGCCGACUGCAACCUGCUGGUGUACGAGUACAUGCCCAACGGCAACCUGUGGGACGCGCUGCACGGCGGCGCCGGCGGUGGGUGGGGCGGCUUCGGGUUCCUCGACUGGCCGACGCGCCGCCGCGUGGCCAUCGGCGUGGCCCAGGGCCUGGCGUACCUCCACCACGACCUCCUGUUCACCAUCGUCCACCGCGACGUCAAGUCGUCCAACAUCCUGCUCGACGCCGACUUCGAGCCCAAGGUGGCCGACUUCGGCAUCGCGACGACCAAGUGCGACGUGUACAGCUUCGGGGUGGUGCUCAUGGAGCUGGCCACGGGGAAGAAGCCGAUCGAGCCGGAGUUCGGGGAGACGAGGGACAUCGUGCAGUGGGUGACCGGCAAGGUGGCGGCCGCGGCGGAGGCGGAGGCGCUGGACAAGCGCCUCGCGUGGAGCCCCUUCAAGGACGAGAUGGUGCAGGCGCUGCGCGUGGCCGUCCGGUGCACCUGCAGCAUCCCCGGCCUCCGCCCCACCAUGGCCGACGUCGUCCAGAUGCUCGCCGAGUCCGGCCCGCCCCCCGGCAGCCGCUCCGCCAAAGACUACCCCGGCCAGAAACCCAAACCAGCUGAGGCCAAGUGA
rnacentral:rRNA from 1 species